rnacentral:rRNA from 1 species
GAUGAACGCUGGCGGCGUGCCUAAUACAUGCCAGUCGAGCGAACAGACGAGGAGCUUGCUCCUCUGACGUUAGCGGCGGACGGGUGAGUAACACGUGGAUAACCUACCUAUAAGACUGGGAUAACUUCGGGAAACCGGAGCUAAUACCGGAUAAUAUAUUGAACCGCAUGGUUCAAUAGUGAAAGACGGUUUUGCUGUCACUUAUAGAUGGAUCCGCGCCGCAUUAGCUAGUUGGUAAGGUAACGGCUUACCAAGGCAACGAUGCGUAGCCGACCUGAGAGAGUGAUCGGCCACACUGGAACUGAGACACGGUCCAGACUCCUACGGGAGGCAGCAGUAGGGAAUCUUCCGCAAUGGGCGAAAGCUUGACGGAGCAACGCCGCGUGAGUGAUGAAGGUCUUCGGAUCGUAAAACUCUGUUAUUAGGGAAGAACAAAUGUGUAAGUAACUAUGCACGUCUUGACGGUACCUAAUCAGAAAGCCGCGGCUAACUACGUG